AAUAGAUACCCAGGUAGUCCACGCCGUAAACGAUGAGUGCUAAGUGUUAGGGGGUUUCCGCCCCUUAGUGCUGCAGCUAACGCAUUAAGCACUCCGCCUGGGGAGUACGGUCGCAAGACUGAAACUCAAAGGAAUUGACGGGGGCCCGCACAAGCGGUGGAGCAUGUGGUUUAAUUCGAAGCAACGCGAAGAACCUUACCAGGUCUUGACAUCCCAUUGACCACUAUGGAGACAUAGUUUUCCCUUCGGGGACAACGGUGACAGGUGGUGCAUGGUUGUCGUCAGCUCGUGUCGUGAGAUGUUGGGUUAAGUCCCGCAACGAGCGCAACCCUUGUUCUUAGUUGCCAUCAUUUAGUUGGGCACUCUAAGGAGACUGCCGGUGACAAACCGGAGGAAGGUGGGGAUGACGUCAAAUCAUCAUGCCCCUUAUGACCUGGGCUACACACGUGCUACAAUGGACGGUACAAACGGUUGCCAACCGCGAGGGGGAGCUAAUCCGAUAAAACCGUUCUCAGUUCGGAUUGUAGGCUGCAACUCGCCUACAUGAAC
rnacentral:rRNA from 1 species